GGGGCCGGGGGGGCGGGGGUCCCUCGUGUGGGGCGGAGGGAGCCGUCAUGUGGGGCUGAGGGAGCCGUCAUGUGGGGCAGAGAGAGACCUGAUGUGGGGCAGAGAGAGACCUGAUGUGGGGCACAGGGAGACCUGAUGUGGGGCAGAGGGAGACCUGAUAUGGGGCAGAGGGAGCCGUCAUGUGGGGCGGAGAGAGCCGUCAUGUGGGGCUGAGGGAGAUCUCAUGUGGGGCGGAGAGAGACCUGAUAUGGGGCUGAGAGANNNNNNNNNNNNNNAGACCUGAUGUGGGGCACAGGGAGACCUGAUAUGGGGCGGAGGGAGCCGUCAUGUGGGGCGGAGAGAGACCUGAUAUGGGGCAGAGGGAGCCCUCGUGUGGGGCAGAGGGAAACCUGAUAUGGGGCAGAGGGAGCCGUCAUGUGGGGCUGAGGGAGAUCUCAUGUGGGGCAGAGAGAGACCUGAUGUGGGGCAGAAAGAGCCCUGAUAUGGGGCACAGAGAGCCGUCAUGUGGGGCUGAGAGCCGUCAUGUGGGGUGGAGAGAAACCUCCUAUGGGGCAGAGAAAUUUCUGAUAUGGGGCAGAGAGAGCCCUGAUAUGGGGCUGAGAGAGACCUGAUGUGGGGCACAGAAAGCCCUGAUGUGGGGCACAGAGAGCCGUCAUGUGGGGCUGAGAGAGCUCUGAUAUGGGGUGAGAGAUCUUUCCUAUGGGGCAGGGGGGGCCUCUUGUGGGGUGGCUAUGGGGCAGCUGUGGGGCAGCUAUGGGGUGGCCAUGGGGUAGUUAUGGGAUAUCUAUGGGGCAGCCAUGGGGCGGCCAUUGGGCAGCUAUGGGGCGGCCGUGGGGCAGCUAUGGGAUAUCUAUGGGGCAGCCAUGGGGCGGCUGUGGGGUGGCUAUGGGAUAUCUAUGGGGCAGUUAUGGGGCGGCUAUGGGGUGGCCGUGGGGCGGCUAUGGGGCAGCUAUGGGAUAUCUAUGGGGCAGCCAUGGGGCAGCUAUGGGGCAGUUAUGGGGUGGCCGUGGGGCGGCUAUGGGGCAGCUAUGGGGUGGCCGUGGGGCGGCUAUGGGAUAUCUAUGGGGCAGCUAUGGGGCGGCUAUGGGGCGCUGCAGGGCUGGUUUGCCGCAGGCAUUGAGCCCACGGGGAACGUGGUGAAGCAGCGCGCAGAAUUCACCGUGGAGACCAUCAGCGCCGGGCAGGGCGACGUCACCGUCUACGUCGAGGACCCCGACGGACAUCGCGAGGAGGUGGCCUGGGGGGCCGGGGACUUGGGGGGCACCCUGGGGGGCUGGGGG
rnacentral:lncRNA from 1 species